rnacentral:rRNA from 1 species
UGGGGAAUUUUGGACAAUGGGCGAAAGCCUGAUCCAGCAAUGCCGCGUGUGUGAAGAAGGCCUUCGGGUUGUAAAGCACUUUUGUCCGGAAAGAAAUCCUCUGGGUUAAUACCUCGGGGGGAUGACGGUACCGGAAGAAUAAGCACCGGCUAACUACGUGCCAGCAGCCGCGGUAAUACGUAGGGUGCAAGCGUUAAUCGGAAUUACUGGGCGUAAAGCGUGCGCAGGCGGUUUUGUAAGACGGAUGUGAAAUCCCCGGGCUUAACCUGGGAACUGCAUUCGUGACUGCAAGGCUAGAGUAUGGCAGAGGGGGGUAGAAUUCCACGUGUAGCAGUGAAAUGCGUAGAGAUGUGGAGGAAUACCGAUGGCGAAGGCAGCCCCCUGGCAAGUACUGACGCUCAUGCACGAAAGCGUGGGGAGCAAACAGGAUUAGAUACCCUGGUAGUCCACGCCCUAAAACGAUGUCAACUAGUUGUUGGGGGAUUCAUUUCCUUAGUAACGUAGCUAACGCGUGAAGUUGACCGCCU